AGUUGUAGAAUGGUUGUUGAGCUAAGUAGGCAACCACUGGGGUGCUGAUAAAAUUAAUGGAUAAAAUUUAGGAACUGUGAGAGUAUAGAAUUUCUUAGUGCAAGUAAUGAUUAGAGAAGCUUCCUGACAUCCCCCACCCUUUCUGUAAGGACUGUUCUUUCUCUUUGUACCUUGGAAUGGGGGUGAAAGGUGAUUUGAUAGCUGAAUUUGGGACUAUGUCCAGUGGGAUAUUAUCUAACUUUUCUCUCUUUCUCUUUUUUUUCCCCUCAGUUUCUCAUUAGUUUGUCUUUGGCAUUCAUCUUCUUUUAGUGCAUUAAAAAAUGUUUGGCAGAUCUCAUCAAUCCCAAGUCACUCUAUAAUUCCUGUAUUUCUUUAGUUGUCGUUUAACCUGUCCAAACUUCUACACAAUGAACUUCUUAACAAGAUUUUAAGUUCUCUGUAUAAGAGGUUUCACCUCAUAACUUCUCCAGUAAUCCUUCAUUUGGCACUAUAGAGUAUUUGUUAAUGGCAGAGAUGAUUUUUCUUUUAAAACCUAAAAAGACUAGCUGUUAUUUGUAUUCUAGCUUUUAGCUAACAUAUAAAGAAUGUCUACUUUUGCUUUAAUGCUAAAUUCCGCUUGAGAAAUAGUAACUGGGAAAGACAAUUUGAAAUAUAUGCCCCAUAAUGUGAUUGUUAAAUUUAUUUCUGCUGUUCCAUACCAUUGCUUUGUUUUGCUUUUGACAAACUAAGCCAUUAUGCUAUUAGUUUGGAAUAUAAUACUACAGCAAAAUUAGGUAACAAUCCCUAUUUUAAAAUUCCCCUAACAAUAAUAGAACUGCCAGCAUACUUUUCUCUUUCAGUUGUAGAUGAAUACAUUCGAGAGAAUAUGAGCUGUAUUUCAUCCUAGAUUUUAAUAUUUUCAGAUGUGACUGUAUUUCCUGAUCAUUGGUCCAAGUUGUCCUAAAAGAAAUUUUUCUCUCCAGACCUAACAGUUUUAACUGCAAGAGUUUACUGUGGGUUAUGUUAAUCUGAAUUUUAAUAGGGCCACUAAGAAUCUGAGUGCCUUAGGAGAUUACCCUUAUACCCACUGCCAUCACAUCCAGUCAGGCCUGUUGUGCUCUAUAUAAAUCUUCCCAGCUGAGGGGCAGGUGCGGGCUAAAAUCCAACUGCAAUUGGCUCCCAGACAUAAUUUUAUAUUUUACAGAGAAGCAUCUUAUUGGCUUAUAUGUGUUUAAAGAAUGGUCUGGCUUAUACAUCUUCAGAAAAUGAGAAUUAAAAAGUCAAAAUAAUUCUUGACAUCUACAGAUUGAACAAAGAACUUAGAAGAAAUAAUACUUUAUCUUUUCAUCCUGGCAUUCCUGAGAGAAGAGAAAUUGAUUGUUUAUCAUGUUGGUUUAAUUUUUCAACCCAGACAAUCUGCAGCAAGGCACAUGGACCCCAAUUUUGAUAUCGUCCAUACAGUUUUCAUUCUAUGCAUGGAGCUAAUUACUGACUUUGCCUGUAAAGAGAGGAUUGUGUGCCUAAAUUUUGUCUAACAAAUGCAAGCGUAGAAUGACAUUUACUAAUAUUUCUAUUUCUUCCAUAGGCUAAAUAAUAGUAACUAAGUAUUUUUAAGGACACAGCCCUUUUUUUCUCUUUAUACAAAAUGAGAGUAUCUGAGCCAAAAUAUUAAAUUCUAGUUCUUUUCCGCAAUGACUAGUGUCAAGCUCAUGUACUCUUCUGAUUCUAGACUGGAGAAGAUUAUUCAAACUUGAUCUGUGUUUCAGGUUUUUAAAUGUCCUAAAAACAGAAAAUUAGAUUCAGAUCUCAAAAAAGGAAUUUUGGAUUGACUUUCAAAGUACUAAUACUAAUUAUACUUUUCUUUUGGUAGCGUGACUCUUCUUAUACCUAAGAACAUAUUACAAAUGUCAAAACCAUUGCAUUUUGACAUUGCAAAACAUGCCUUGAACUCUUGAACUACUGUGAAAAGAAUCACCGUUGUAAAGACUUUUUGUAAGCUAGCUGAUACUCUUAAGUAUGUAAAAAGAUUGUCUUUCAGCCGACAGGCCCAAAGGAAUGUAUAUAAGGAAGGAAUAUGAAAAAAUAAAUUAGGUUUUAAAAUAGGAAUUGGGCAAUAAACUGUAUCAAAAAUAUGUAGAUGGAUUUUAGUAGUUGUAAUUUAAAUGUGGAAGGUGAAGAGAAUUUCAAACUCCAAAGAGAAAUGAAUGAUAUUCAGAUGUUUCAUUAAUUUCUAGUCUGUGAAAAUAUGCAUUUUAUAGUAAUAUGUAUAGACUUAUUUUAUUUAGAAAUAAUAGUGUUUUAGAAUUUAUUAAAAACUCAGUGAUAGCCUUUAUACCAAAAUGUUUAACUUUACCAACAGCAAGUCAUAAAAGUAUUUAUUUUAAAGCUUUUUAAUAUUAUCGUGUAACUUUCAUCUGUCUUCAGAUGUAAAUAAUUAUCUGCC
rnacentral:lncRNA from 1 species